GUUACAACACGAACUUCUGGUCUUUGGGCAUUUCCCUGCCGGGAUGGAGCAGUUAUACUAAAAUCUUUUUCACCUUCUUCCCCGGGAAUAUAAGCCAGAACAACCAGGACAUCCCCAAAUGGAGCCAUUCCUGUGAUUAAGUAGCUGGUUUGGAAAGAUGCCACUAUAUCAACCCGGUUCAUGCUAGACAUUGGAACAUGC
rnacentral:misc_RNA from 1 species